UUCUGGAUUGAUUCCCUGCUGUUGGCUCCUCGUGAAGGGGCAGCUCAGGCUGAGAGAACAUUUCUGCUGUGGUGCUGGAGCCUUUGGUCAGUGCAGGGAAUUUUGAAAAUUAACUGGGCUUUAAUUCCAACCAGAAAAACACAGUUUGGACUGAAAUCAAAUCUGGAAAAACAUGUCAGGAAAAGCCAAAACCUCAGGCUCUGUGUGUGAUCAUAAAACUUUUUGCUGCAGCUUCUAAUCAGGGAAGAGAUCACCUAAUAAAAAUAGCACUUUGGAAGGAAGAACAAUUCAAUACUGAACAGGAGUGAGGAGCUCUAACUAGUGAUAAAGACUGCACUGCUUGGGGAAGAUUUGUUGCUGUUGGUAGAAGCCUGAAGAGGCUCUUUGCAGCCAGGAACGGUUCUGCAGAGCUGAUGGAAUGAGUUCUGUCCUUGGGGCAGGUGCUGAUGGAAGGGCUGCUUUCAGUGUGUGUGCUCUCCCUGCCUUCCCUUGUGCUGCUGCAGAGGUUUUGUUGCAGUUUAUGUCCUGGGCUGAACUAAUCUACAGCACAAAGCACCAGCUGGUAAAUCAAACCAUUAUUUCAACCCCGCUUUAUUAUUUUUCCCCUUUAUUCCUGCUGCCCUUGCCAAUGCAGAGCUGGGAAUCUGUGGCCAGGUAAGCAGAGCCCUCCACACCUCUCUGCUAUGGAGUGAUCACUUGGAGCCUGGAUGUGUGAUCAGCAUCUCCAGCCUUUCUCAGCCUCCUGUGUGGCUGCACCUAUUUAUUCCCUGUUAGCAGCUUUAUAUCCUUUAUAUGAGGAGUUCAAGGCCUGCUAAUCUUGCAUCAUUUGUAGUCCUGUCUAAAUUCUGAUCUUUACAGCCACUGCUCUAGAAAUGAAAAGAUUAAUCAAAUGCCAGAAGAUUACUAGAGCUUCAAACCAGUCAGAAUGUGACUGGGAAAACAUGUUAAUCACUUCUCACUUAACCUGAGCACAUACUGCACCCUGCACUCCUGCUCCUGUCACUGAUCUGUAUAAUGAGCACCUCUGGUUGACAGAUGCAGAAGAAAUUAUAGUGCUUUUUGCAUUCUUUUUAUCAGAUACCUCUGUUUUGGUGCUAUAGAUACUCUCCAGACAUCCUGCUCAAACCUAUGUAUAGAAAAGGCAAGAUCUCCACACCAAAAUUCACAUGUAGAAAUAUGAUUUCAGAGAAUUUGUAAGGUUUAAAAAGUACUGUAGGAAAGUAGCAAAUAAGUCAAAGAUUAAGGAUAAGCUACAUUAUUCAACAAUUCAUUUCUCAUAUUUUAGUGAUUUGAACAUAAAUCUGUUUCAAGUACUUUAGUAUAAAUGCAUUUACUUUAACAGAAAAAAAAAUCCUUGACCUUUAUUGCCAUUUUGAGCACGUUAAUAAAAAGAGCAGCACUUUUCAAACACUUGAGUUUUUCAUCAGCACCCAGUGAAUUAGUUUUCCUGCAGUUAACAGCAUUGCUGCAAAACUGCCCUGGUGUGAUGCUGAGCUUGG